rnacentral:rRNA from 1 species
UACGUAGGGUCCGAGCGUUGUCCGGAAUUAUUGGGCGUAAAGGGUGUGUAGGUUGUCUUGUUAGUCAGAUGUUAAAACUUCCCGCUUAACGGGAAAUCGGCAUUUGAAACGGCAAAACUAGAGGAUGCGAGAGGUGAACAGAACUCAUGGUGUAGGGGUGAAAUCCGUUGAUAUCAUGGGGAAUACCAAAUGCGAAGGCAGUUCACUGGCGCACUCCUGACACUGAAACACGAAAGCGUGGGUCGCGAACUGG